CCCUUAGAUGUUCUGGGCCGCACGCGCGCUACACUGACGAAUGCAACGAGCUUAUAACCUUGGCCGAAAGGUCUGGGUAAUCUCCAAAUUUCGUCGUGAUGGGGAUAGAUUAUUGCAAUUAUUAAUCUUCAACGAGGAAUGCCUAGUAAGCGCAAGUCAUCAGCUUGCGUUGAUUACGUCCCUGCCCUUUGUACACACCGCCCAUCGCUCCUACCGAUUGAAUGGUCCGGUGAAGCGUUCGGACCGUGGCCUUUGGACGGUUCGCCGUCUGUUGGCUGCGGGAAGUUCGUUAAACCUUAUCAUUUAGAGGAAGGAGAAGUCGUANCA
rnacentral:rRNA from 1 species